UACGUAGGGUGCGAGCGUUAAUCGGAAUUACUGGGCGUAAAGUGUGCGCAGGUGGCCGCGCAAGUCGAGUGUGAAAUCCCCGAGCUUAACUUGGGAAUUGCGCUCGAAACUACGUGGCUCGAGUGUGGCAGAGGAAGGUGGAAUUCCACGUGUAGCGGUGAAAUGCGUAGAUAUCAAGAGGAACACCUGCGGCGAAGGCGGGUUGCUGGGCCGACACUGACGCUGAGGCGCGAAAGCUAGGGGAGCGAACGGG
rnacentral:rRNA from 1 species